rnacentral:rRNA from 1 species
CACGUAGGGCGCAAGCGUUGUCCGGAAUUAUUGGGCGUAAAGAGCUCGUAGGCGGACUGUCACGUCUGCUGUGAAAAGCUGGGGCUUAACCCUGGCCUUGCAGUGGAUACGGGCAGACUAGAGGUAGGUAGGGGAGAAUGGAAUUCCCGGUGUAGCGGUGAAAUGCGCAGAUAUCGGGAGGAACACCCGUAGCGAAGGCGGCACUCUGGGCCGUGACUGACGCUGAGGAGCGAAAGCGUGGGGAGCAAACAGG